AUUGAACGCUGGCGGCAUGCCUUACACAUGCAAGUCGAACGGCAGCACGGGUGCUUGCACCUGGUGGCGAGUGGCGAACGGGUGAGUAAUACAUCGGAACAUGUCCUGUAGUGGGGGAUAGCCCGGCGAAAGCCGGAUUAAUACCGCAUACGAUCUACGGAUGAAAGCGGGGGACCUUCGGGCCUCGCGCUAUAGGGUUGGCCGAUGGCUGAUUAGCUAGUUGGUGGGGUAAAGGCCUACCAAGGCGACGAUCAGUAGCUGGUCUGAGAGGACGACCAGCCACACUGGGACUGAGACACGGCCCAGACUCCUACGGGAGGCAGCAGUGGGGAAUUUUGGACAAUGGGCGAAAGCCUGAUCCAGCAAUGCCGCGUGUGUGAAGAAGGCCUUCGGGUUGUAAAGCACUUUUGUCCGGAAAGAAAUCCUUGGCCCUAAUACGGUCGGGGGAUGACGGUACCGGAAGAAUAAGCAUCGGCUAACUACGUG
rnacentral:rRNA from 1 species